UUAAGUAAAGCCAAAAAGAGGCUUAUCACUGUUAAUGAUAGAAUUGGGACCGCCCCCUUCUUGAA
rnacentral:tRNA from 1 species